UGAACGCUGGCGGCGUGCCUAACACAUGCAAGUCGAACGGAGAUAAGACGCUGACGAGACUUCGGUCAAAUCUGUUUAUCUUAGUGGCGGACGGGUGAGUAACGCGUGGGCAACCUGCCUCAUACUGGGGGGAUAGCAGUUGGAAACGACUGAUAAUACCGCAUAAGCGCACGGAGUCGCAUGACUCAGUGUGAAAAACUCCGGUGGUAUGAGAUGGGCCCGCGUCAGAUUAGCCAGUUGGCAGGGUAACGGCCUACCAAAGCGACGAUCUGUAGCCGGCCUGAGAGGGCGGACGGCCACAUUGGGACUGAGACACGGCCCAAACUCCUACGGGAGGCAGCAGUGGGGGAUAUUGCACAAUGGAGGAAACUCUGAUGCAGCGACGCCGCGUGAAGUGAAGAAGUAUUUCGGUAUGUAAAGCUCUAUCAGCAGGGAAGAAAGGCUCCGCAAGGAGAGAUGACGGUACCUGACUAAGAAGCCCCGGCUAACUACGUGCCAGCAGCCGC
rnacentral:rRNA from 1 species